GUGGGGAAUUUUGGACAAUGGGCGAAAGCCUGAUCCAGCCAUGCCGCGUGCAGGAUGAAGGCCUUCGGGUUGUAAACUGCUUUUGUACGGAACGAAACGGUCCGGGUUAAUACCCUGGGUGGAUGACGGUACCGUAAGAAUAAGCACCGGCUAACUUCGUGCCAGCAGCCGCGGUAAUACGAAGGGUGCAAGCGUUAAUCGGAAUUACUGGGCGUAAAGCGUGCGUAGGUGGUUGUUCAAGUCUGUCGUGAAAGCCCUGGGCUAAACCUGGGAAUGGCGAUGGAAACUGGGCGACUAGAGUGCGGUAGAGGAUGGCGGAAUUCCCGGUGUAGCGGUGAAAUGCGUAGAGAUCGGGAGGAACAUCCGUGGCGAAGGCGGCCAUCUGGACCAGCACUGACACUGAGGCACGAAAGCGUGGGGAGCAAACAGGAUUAGAAACCCGGGUAGUCC
rnacentral:rRNA from 1 species